GGCACUGUGGCGGAGUGGUUAACGCGACAGAUUCGAAUUACUCUUCAUCUGUUCCACUUUGUGGGCGCAUGUUCGAAUCAUGCCAGUGUCG